rnacentral:lncRNA from 1 species
AAUACGUGCUCGACAGACUAUACUAGUGGUCAAGUCCUUAUUGGUCGGGGUAAAGACUACUAACACAUAAUCUAAAGGUAAUUGUUCAAUGUUCAGAUGCUAAGCAAACUCAUGUUAUGCAAAAAAGUGUGUAGAUCCUGGGUCUAUUAAAACUUUAGUCAAGGUAUUAGAGAGUUGGAUUACAUACUGAAAGGAUUGAACAUCUCACUCUGUAAUGGCAUUUACUCUUUCUUGAGUUGUUUUUCUGGUCUGCUCUUUGUUGAUAAGACACUCUUUGAUCCGAUGUUGAGUACUACCACAUCUGAAACAUCCAUUUGUCAACUUGUAACAGGGUCUGUUACCAUGGUUCUUUCUACAAUGAGGGCAUAUUUACUCUAGCUUUUGUGCUAGGACUAUGAGAUAUGUCUUCUGCCUUUUAUCGAGUUAUUAUGGCUCAUAAACCUUCUUUUUAUUGUUUGGUAUGAAUGGUCAAACCUGCUAGAUCUGUUGUGAGACUGGACUUGUAGCCUCUUCUGUAAUCUGGGCUCGUUCCAGUGCUUCUUGAUAGUCAUUAAUUUUCGGAACGAAGAUUUUAUCCCAUAUCUCUUUAUGCAGACCUCUUUGAAACUUCUUGGCCGUUCAGCUUCCAUAUGCUACUAAGUUGGGCACGAACCGAGCUAGCUGUGUAAAUUUUUCUACAUAUUCUGCCACCU